rnacentral:lncRNA from 1 species
UUUUUGCUGAAUAUGAUAGAAGACUUUUGUAUUUUCAAUUUCUAACCUAACUAGCCACUUGAUUGUUCCAUACUCUUCAUAAUUUCUUAUAGUUUCUUUUGAUUGCAAUGACAAAAGAUGAUUAAAUUAUCUAGAAAUGAAAGAUGGGUUACUGAAGUUACAUUUCUAUCGACCUUAAUUCAUAUGCUAGACUAUUGCUCUAGGAUCUAUUGGCAAG